rnacentral:rRNA from 1 species
UACGGGGGGGGCAAGCGUUGUUCGGAAUUACUGGGCGUAAAGGGUGCGUAGGUGGCUUGGUAAGUCAGUGGUGAAAUCGUCCGGCCCAACCGGACACGUGCCAAUGAUACUGCCGAGCUCGAGUGCGUGAGGGGUGGGGGGAACGAGCAGUGUAGCGGUGAAAUGCGUAGAUAUUGCUCGGAAAGCCAAAGCCGAAGGGACCCCACUGGUACGUAACUGACACUGAGGCACGAAAGCGUGGGGAGCAAACAGG